rnacentral:rRNA from 1 species
UACGAAGGGGGCUAGCGUUGCUCGGAAUUACUGGGCGUAAAGCGUGCGCAGGCGGUUUUGUAAGACAGAGGGGAAAUCCCCGGGCUCAACCUGGGAACUGCCUUUGUGACUGCAAGGCUUGAGUGCGGCAGAGGGGGAUGGAAUUCCGCGUGUAGCAGUGAAAUGCGUAGAUAUGCGGAGGAACACCGAUGGCGAAGGCAAUCCCCUGGGCCUGCACUGACGCUCAUGCACGAAAGCGUGGGGAGCAAACAGG